rnacentral:rRNA from 1 species
CGCGAAAACUUUACCAUGCUGGAAACCGUGAUAAGGGAACUCCGAGUGCCCGUAAAAUCGGGCUGUCCAUCUGUUUAAAUAACAGGUGAAGAAAGGGCCGGGCAAGACCGGUGCCAGCCGCCGCGGUAAUACCGGCGGCUCGAGUGGUGGCCACUAUUACUGGGCUUAAAGCGUUCGUAGCUGGUCUGUUAAGUCUCUGGGGAAAUCUACUGGCUUAACCAAUAGGCGUUUCAGGGAUACUGGCAGACUAGGGACCGGGAGAGGUGAGGGGUACUCCAGGGGUAGGAGCGAAAUCCUGUAAUCCUUGGGGGACCACCUGUGGCGAAGGCGCCUCACCAGAACGGCUCCGACAGUGAGGGACGAAAGCUGGGGGAGCAAACCGGAUUAGAUACCCGGGUAGUCCCAGCCGUAAACGAUGCGCGUUAGGUGUAUCGGUGACCACGAGUCACCGAGGUGCCGAAGAGAAAUCGUGAAACGUGCCGCCUGGGAAGUACGGUCGCAAGGCUGAAACUUAAAGGAAUUGGCGGGGGAGCAC